GCUGUCUUUGAACUCGUGAUCCUCCUGCCUCAGCCUCCCGAGCCACUGGGAUUACAGGAGCUGCUUUUAGUGACAAAUUUAGUCUUUGGCUUCUAGAGUGAGUAUUCAGCGGAGAGUAUGACUGAAUCAGAAGAGUAAUAACAGUACCCAGAGACAGGUUGGUUAAGGUCAAGGAGACUGAAUCCCAGCUUAGAUUUCAGAGAUGAAAGAACAUAUCUGUUUUGGGCUAAAAGAUGUUCUUCACUUAGGAGGCUUUUUGAGUUCUUCCUCUUGCUGCUGCUCCUGAUGCUGAUGGUUUGUUGUCAGGGCUGCUCUUCACUGGAACAGAAUCCAAUAUACUUCCGUGAAUUCUUCAGCAAACUCAGAAUAAAAAGGAAUUUUCUCAAGUGAUAAAGACAUCUAUAAGAAAUCCACAGAUAACAUACUGUUAUGUGUUGGAUAUCCCCCAAAAGCUCACAUGUGAGACAAUGAAGGAAGGUUUAGAGGAGAAAUUAUUGAGUUAUAACCUUAAUCUAAUCAGUGAAUUAAUCCCUGAUCGGAUUAACUGAAUGAUGAUUAGAGGUGGUGGGGUGUGGCUGGAGAAAGAGGUUCAUUGGAGGCGUGGCUAUGGGGUAUAUAUUUGUAUCUGGCAAGUGGAGACCUCUCUCUGCUCUGAUCAUUAUGUGAGCUGCUUUGCUCUGCCACACUCUUCUGCCAUGAUGUUCUACCUAACCUCAAGCCCAGAGGAAUGGAGCCAGCCUUUUAUGAACUAACACCUCUAAAACUGUGAGCCCUUAAGUAAACUAUUCCUGCUGUACAACUGUUCUGAUUGGGUCUUUACGUCACAGCAGCAAAAAAGCUGUCUAAAACAUAGUGAAAGACUGAAUUCAUUUCCCCUUAAGAUCACAAAUAAAACAAAGAUCCCCACUCACACCAAUUCUAUUCAGUAUUUUACCUGAAGUUCUAGUUAGUGCAAUUAGGCUAGCAAUAUAAGUAAAAGACUCAAUUGGAAAGGGAGAUAUAACCUGUUUUUAUUUGCAGCAACAUGAUCUAGUAUAUAACAAAUCCCAAGGAAUUCAUUAAAAAACAAUUAGAACUAAUAAACAAUUUUGGCAAGACUAAAGAAUACAAGAUCAAUAAAUACAAAUCUAUUUUAUCUCUACAUACUAGUAAUGUACAAUCUGAAUAUGAUAUUAAGAAAAUAAUACAUUUUGAAUAAAAUACUCAGGAAUAAGCUUAACAAAAGAGGUGCAAAACCUAUAGUCAAAAAACUAGGAAGUAUUGUUGAAAAAAAUCAUAGGAGACACAAAGGAAUGGAAAAAUAUCCUUUGUUAAUUGGUUAGAGGAUUUAUUUUAUUUUAUUUUUGAGAGAGAGAGAGAGAGAGAGAGAGAGAGAGAGAGAGA